GAAUAUCCACCUAAGACAGCGGGUGCCGAAAGGCUUAAUUUCCUGCCGAGGUACAAGAAAUAGAUUUCAUACCUCGCGCUGUCUUGACAGACGCGAGGUCUUUUGU
rnacentral:sRNA from 1 species